UACAGAGGUCUCAAGCGUUGUUCGGAUUCAUUGGGCGUAAAGGGUGCGUAGGCGGCUGUGUUAGUCAGAUGUGAAAGCCUAGGGCUUAACCCUAGAAGCGCAUUUGAUACUGCACGGCUUUUAGAGGACUGGAGAGGAGAGCGGAAUUCACGGUGUAGCAGUGAAAUGCGUAGAUAUCGUGAGGAAGGCCAGUGGCGAAGGCGGCUCUCUGGACAGGACCUGACGCUGAGGCACGAAGGCUAGGGGAGCAAACGGG
rnacentral:rRNA from 2 species